GCACAUAGAGAAGAGUUCAACAUUUCUCUACUGAGUCAUGAAAAGAUUCAUUAAAAACAUACAAUGCUUUCUAUAAUAUAUCCGUCUAGACUGACUGAAACAGAAAGGUGACAAAAAAUUUGUCAACUUUAUCGGGUGGCACUUCCAUGUGUUACACAUUAGCUGAACAAAUUAAAAUACCCUCCUUAUGGGUGUAAAAAUGCUCCGUAGAAGCAUACAUUGCGAAUACAACGCGGAUUACGUCGAGCAUAUUGCCCGCCGCUGGGUGUUUGGUUCUCGAUUCUGGUUUGGCGGUUUUUUCCACUUAAUACCCUGUACGCUCUGAAAGGGGGUGUAAUAGGGGUGUUCGCUGCUUCUAUAAAGGUAUCUCAUGGCCGGUUACUCUAGACUAAGGCGCUCACGCUUGUUUAAAUUUAAUAUAAAAACACAUUUUGGCUGCUGUUUAAAUAUAAUUACACUCACUCUGCGGGCUGCACUCAUAAUUUAAUUAAAAUUUAUAAAUUACUUUGUUUGAACGUGACCGGAAAAACGCCGCCUGGUUU